rnacentral:lncRNA from 1 species
AGUGCCCGCAGCGGGUCCGGCAGCCCUGGCCUUAUCCGGGCGUCGGGGCUUCGGCGGGCAUUAGCAGCAGCUGAGAGGCCUGUGAGAGGUUCUGGGGCGCCACCGCAGUCAUUCUGUUCAGCGGGUAUAGGACUUUCAUUCAUGGGACUGUCCCUGAUUCCCAGCCAUCACGGGGAGGCUCUACCUUCAAGUGUUAUCCAGAAUCAGACCACCUCACCUCAUCUACUGUGGCCUCCCUGGGAUGGGCCUGGCCUCCUUCAGUCUGUUCUCACCACAAAGCCACCAGAAGGAUCCUUUUAUUUUUAUUGAUUGAUUGAUUGAUACGGGGUCUGACUCUGUCAGCAGGCUGGAGUGCAAUGGCACGAUCUCACCUCACUGCAACCUCUGCUUCUUGGACUCAAGCAAUCCUCCCACCACUGCCUCCUGAGUAGCUGGGACCACAGGUGCACACCACCACACCCAGUUAAUCUUUUUGUAUUUUUGGUAGAGAUGGAGUUUCACCAUUUUGCCCAGGAUGGUCUCAAACUGUUAAGCUCAAGCAAUCUACCCACCUCAGCUUCCCACAGUGCUGGGAUUACAGAUAUGGGCCACCACGCCCAGCGCCUUUUAAAAGUGCAGUUGGAUCAUAGCAUUUAUCUGCUCAUAACAAUGGCUUUUGCUUCCCCGCUCACUCAAAAGAAAUUCCUUCUUCACUGCAGAACUGCCCCUCCUACCACAGGAUGUUUAGGGUUCCUGGCUGCAACCCCCAAAGGUCCUAAUGGUGCUGGUCAUGGGGGGAUCCACACCAUUGUGACAACGAAAUAUGCC